rnacentral:rRNA from 1 species
GAUGAACGCUGGCGGCGUGCCUAAUACAUGCAAGUCGAGCGAACAGAUGAGGAGCUUGCUCCUCUGAUGUUAGCGGUGGACGGGUGAGUAACACGUGGAUAACCUACCUAUAAGACUGGGAUAACUUCGGGAAACCGGAGCUAAUACCGGAUAAUAUAUUGAACCGCAUGGUUCAAUAGUGAAAGACGGUUUUGCUGUCACUUAUAGAUGGAUCCGCGCCGCAUUAGCUAGUUGGUAAGGUAACGGCUUACCAAGGCAACGAUGCGUAGCCGACCUGAGAGGGUGAUCGGCCACACUGGAACUGAGCCUCGUUCCAGACGCCUACGGGAGCCAGCAGUAGGGAAUCGUCCGCAAUGGGCGAAAGCCUGACGGAGCAACGCCGCGUGAGUGAUGAAGGUCCUCGGAUCGUAAAACUCUGUUAUUAGUGAAGAACAAAUGUGUAAGUAACUAUGCACGUCUUGCCGGUACCUAAUCAGAAAGCCACGGCUAACUACGUG